GAUGACAGUGAUGAACACAUCAAAUUGAAGCUCAACAGACCCAAAUGCACGGUUUAGUCUCUUCGAGAGACUACUUUGCGUGUCGACAAUCUCGCAACUGAGUCAUC